rnacentral:rRNA from 1 species
UACGUAGGGCGCAAGCGUUGUCCGGAAUUAUUGGGCGUAAAGAGCUCGUAGGUGGCUUGUCGCGUCUGCCGUGAAAGCCCAUGGCUUAACUGUGGGUCUGCGGUGGAUACGGGCUGGCUAGAGGUAGGUAGGGGCAAGCGGAAUACUUGGUGUAGCAGUGAAAUGCGUAGAUAUCAAGUGGAACACCAGUGGCGAAGGCGAGUCCCUGGACAACUCCUGACACUGAGGCACGAAAGCUAGGGGAGCAAACAGG